GAUGAACCAACCUCUGCUAGCUUCAAGCUUUUCUUCUCUCACCUCUUUCAGCCAUCAAAUAAUUGAAAAGAGUUAGGGCUUGCUCUGGAUUAGGAUUUGGCUUAAAGGGAUGUUGUGGCUGCUUUGAUCAUCUAUUCAGACCACUAAAACUUUCUUCAGAUCAGCAAUAAGGUAAUUUUGCUUUCUUAUUUGUGUGUACACUGGAGUAGCACUUCUAAUUUCCUUCAAGAACUCUUCCUUUGCAUUCACAUCUUGGCUAGCUUUCAGCCUAGCUCAACUUUUGUCAUGCCUUCCUCACUAAGCUUUAUUUUUAGCUUUUGAUUUAAAGUGAAAAACCUGUGACUCUUCUUUUCACCUGAACACUUAGAGGCUAUUGUAGGGUUAUUAAUUGUUCUGAUUUCAUUAUUGUCGUGUGUCAGGGAAUAGGGACACCCAAGGAGAGGGAGAGUGACUGGAGAACAGAUGGUCAGUGGAGCAGUCAGAACAUAUGCAGCAUGUAUCGAUUAAGUUCACUAUCUUACCUAGGUGUGGUAUGUGGCACUCCAAUGACAAUGGUAGUAUCAAAGAUCAUAGAUCACUAACAUAUACAACAAUAAUAAACAAGUUGGGAGAAUUACCAAAAUAUGACACAGAGACACAACGAGAUGAGCACAAGCUAUUGGAAAAAUGGCAUUUUAGACUUUUUUUGACAUAGGGUUGCUGCAAACCUUGAAUGUGUUUUAAAAAAUUGUUUUUAAACCAGUCAAAUUUAGCAGUGGGGGGUUGUAUACCAACUUUAAUGACACUAUGUUAGUAACUUCUGAUUACCCACUACCAUUUGACCAGCCAAAAAAAAAAAAAAAUGUUUUUUAAUGCAGUAUCUUUGAAGGUCAGUAAAGCAAAGCACAAUAAAAUGAGGUAUGCCUAUAGUUACUUUGUAGAGUCCAUAGGACUUUCUAUGUAGAAAGUCCUGUCUUUUGCAGAUAGGCCGUUUUACUUUCUUUUUUUUCCCAAUCUUUUCUUUCUUGUGCAUUAUUACAUUUACUCAUACCUCCAGGACAAUGUUGAAGAGAAAUGAUGUAUUAGUCCAUUUUCACACUGCUAUAAAGAACUGCCUGUAUUAGCCUAGCAUGGUGGCGGACACCUGUAAUCCCAGCUAUGCAAGAGGCUGAGACGAGAAUCUCUUGAACCUGGGAGGCGGAGGUUGCAACGAGCUGAGAUCGCGCCACUGCACUCCAGCCUGGGUGACAGAGUGAGACACUGUCUC
ensembl:lncRNA novel transcript